GUGUCAGCCGCCGCGGUAAUACGUAGGGUGCAAGCGUUGUCCGGAAUUAUUGGGCGUAAAGGGCUCGUAGGCGGUUUGUCGCGUCGGGAGUGAAAACUCAGGGCUUAACCCUGAGCCUGCUUCCGAUACGGGCAGACUAGAGGUAUGCAGGGGAGAAUGGAAUUCCUGGUGUAGCGGUGAAAUGCGCAGAUAUCAGGAGGAACACCGGUGGCGAAGGCGGUUCUCUGGGCAUUACCUGACGCUGAGGAGCGAAAGUGUGGGGAGCGAACAGGAUUAGAUACCCCAGUAGUCC
rnacentral:rRNA from 1 species